rnacentral:rRNA from 1 species
GUGCCAGCCGCCGCGGUAAUACGGAGGGUGCAAGCGUUGUCCGGAUUUAUUGGGUUUAAAGGGUGCGUAGGCGGCCCGUUAAGUCAGUGGUGAAAGCCCAUAGCUCAACUAUGGAACUGCCAUUGAUACUGACGGGCUUGAGUACAGACGAGGUAGGCGGAAUUGAAGAUGUAGCGGUGAAAUGCAUAGAUAUCUUCAAGAACACCGAUUGCGUAGGCAGCUUACUAGGCUGUAACUGACGCUGAGGCACGAAAGCGUGGGGAGCGAACAGGAUUAGAUACCCUGGUAGUCCACGCUGUAAACGAUGAUUACUCGAUGUCGGCGAUAAACUGUCGGCGUCUUAGCGAAAGCGUUAAGUAAUCCACCUGGGGAGUACGCCCGCAAGGGUGAA